GUUACUCUAUUGCAUACCACAGGGAAUUUUAAUUCCAACCUGUGAAAUUGUAAUUGCUUCUCAAGAAGAACAGAGGGAUUCUGGGUAAUGGCCAGAGCCAAGAUCAGUGUCAGAGUUGCCAGUUGCUGCCACUUCAGAUAUUGCUGGCUGUUAUUCAAAAAUCAUUCCAGCUUUCCAUAUGGGAAGUUGAACUAGGGAGUGAAACUAAAUUAACAGAAGCUGUCAGAUGUUCAGAAAUAUGCAGGCAGCGAUGUGACAGAGGUGUAGGAACUCUCCUCAAAAGUACUGUCCCUAUAGGUGCUCCACUUCCGGUGGCUACUAGCAGUAUCCCUCACCUGGAGACGGGGGCUUCGGAGCCAAGUCCAAGACUGAAGACAAUGGUGCAUUUCCAAUGGCAGCACCUGAACUACAAGUCUGGACUGCUACAUUGUGCUUGGAAAGCUCCAGGAGGUAAUCAAGGACAAGCAAGAGGGAAGAGUGAGCAGCUCCUUAGAACGAAUAGAUGCUAGUCCUGUGAACCAUCAAGGAGCCAGUUUGAGACAAAGAAUCUUCGGGUUGGAGUGAAGAGUUCAAAUGGUAUCUUGGCAAAGAAAAUGAGGAAUGAAUGGAAAGCUGAAUGCCUGACAAACAGCUAUGUGAAUCAGGUAAGGACACUAUAUUUGUCUGGACCACGUUGGGACUAUGAAUAUUGUCCUGGGCUUUGUGGUGCUUGAUCUUGUUUAUCACUUUCAGAAUCUGGGCGUUGGGGGAAACACAUAUAAAAGGCCUCUUGUCCAUGGAACAAGGAAGAUGUCUUUUCAAAAGGGAAAACUCAAUUCCUCCUUGAGCAAAAAUGUUUGCAUUUCCUGCUGGUCACAGUGGCAAAGAGGUCUACUUUUGGAAUUCCCCAAAUCACAAAGAUUAAACUGAGAGACUGAGAAUCUGAUAAUCCAACUCCCAUUUGCAGUCCUGGGAGAAGUACCUGCUGAGUUUGUCUGCUAACCUGUUUUAUAUCCCUGGAAGGUACGCUGUUGAAAUAUGGAUGCAAGGGGCUAUUCACCAGUUCCAGAGCUUUAAUACUUCAGCACAAAGGGAAGGAGAUGAGGGCCCUCCUUAUUCGUUGAUAUAGAACGUGAAAGCUAUGUUGUCUGUCAGGAUCUUUAUGCACCUGCUUCUGAUUAUAGGCAAAAAGAGGAUACAGACAUUCCUGACUGCCCUCAGCUCGAGACGGCUGAUGUGCAGGUGUGUCACCUGGGCAGACCAUUUGCCCUGAGAGGUGUGGAUCCUCAAAUGCCCUCUCCAGCCUAUCAGGAAUGCAUCUGUAAUUACAGUGAUAAGGGAGGAGGCUGAACAAACAGAAUACCCACACAUACAAUGUCUGGGUCCUUCCACUGAUUGAGACUGUCUCAUACCUGACCUGGGAUCGACACCAACUUGCUCAGGCGGUGCUUGUUUCGUGUAUAAACAGUCCUGAGUCAGCCUUGGAAACAUCCAAGGCAGAGCCUGGCAUAUAGUUCCACAAAGGUGCAGGUUGCCAUGUGUCUAAGUAAAUGAAGACAACUUACUGAUGUUUGUGGGCUGAUUUAAAUCUUUGAGGCGAGAUUUGCUAACACUAAGAAUCUGUUGUAGGGAAGAUAAGCCCUGUCUGAUAUAGCAUUAAUAUUAACUCUAUUCUUCGUACCAUGCUCAAAGUGGAUUUCUUUAAUGUUGAGCUGCAAACAGCUCGCAGAACAGAGAUCUCAUCAUCUUUAUGGCAUCAAAAGCUACAUUGUAAGACUGGUUGUUGAGAAGACAGUCGCUGAGUUAUGAAAAAAUGAUUAUCCCCAGAUGUCAAAGGUAAGCUGCUCCAGCACUUCUGAGAACACUCUUGGGGCAGGCAAAAGGCCGAACUCGAGAACUCAAUACUGAAAGUGAUCCUGACCUACUUAAAAAAGAAGGGACUGUUUAUGAGAUGAAUUAAUUGCAAUAUGAAAACAGUCAUCCUGAAGGUAAAGACCCAAAAACUAAUCCUCUGCUUCUAAUGAUGGAAUUAUAGCUGCAAGAGACACAAUCCUGAAUUUUUGUGACUUCACAAAACAGUUACGGAGUCUCAGAUCUAAAUCAGUCUCCACCAUUCCAUUGUUCUCCAGGACAAAAAAUAGCUGGAAUAAAAACCCCGCCCUCUAUGCUCAUAUGGACGUGGUUCUACAGCCCCUAUUGACACAAGGGAGUCAAUUUCUUGCAGUAAGAGGUACUCAUGAGAGGGGUCCCUGAAAAGGGACAGGAAAAGGGGUGGAUGGGUAUAUGGGAGAGAGGUAAAAUGGAUAGUGUACCCCAAUCUCAUUUAUUUGAUGUUAUUCUCUUCCAAGCAGAUAGAAAGUGGGAGAGAUGGUCUCCAAAAGGUGGAAGGUGGAUAGAUUGGUGUAGAUGCAGUUUGUUUUUGUGGAGUUGUUCCAUGCCCUCAGCCAGCCCAUCUAAACUGAUACUCAGAUGAUAAGGGCUCAGUAGUAGAUGUAGAGGAAGCAGGUGGUCUCUUCUUCCGGAACCUUGACUUCUUCCUGGGUGGUUAAUAAGGUCUCUGGAAUCCUGAGAAUUAAGUGGUGUGGGAUUUUUGAGCCGUUUCGGAUCUACUAAACUUCCAUUUGUUUAUAGGUGUGUAAAUCCCCAGGGAUCUGAACGUGGCUCUGGAUCCUUAAGGGUACGCAAGGAUUCAGCAAAUAGCCUGAGGCCAUCAAACGGAAGGUCCUCAACCGUGUUUUGGAAACCUCCCUUAGGAAUCCAGACAGCUGGGGCCAGGAUGCCCUCUGCAUGACCACUACUGUAGAGACAGAUCAAGUGACAGUGACAGCUGCAUCCAACAAGGCCUGCAGAGAUGUUCUAACAGUUGACCUUUGUUAAUAAUAGCCUGAAACUGGUCACACUGAUCAGUCAGCUGAUGCUCAAUAAAGGUGGUAAAUUUGGC